rnacentral:rRNA from 1 species
GACGAACGCUGGCGGCGUGCUUAACACAUGCAAGUCGAACGAGGUCCACUACGGAGCAAUCCAAGGGAAGACCUAGUGGCGAACGGGUGCGUAACACGUGAGGAACUUGUCCCGGUCUCUGGGAUAACAGUUGGAAACGACUGCUAAUACCGGAUGACGUCGGAAUCUCGCAUGGGAUGCUGACGAAAGGGUUACCGGAUCGGGAGAGCCUCGCGGCCUAAUCAGCUUGUUGGCGGGUAACGCCACAAGGCAUCGACGGGUAGCUGGCUGAGAGGAUGAUCAGCCACACUGGGACUGAGACACGGCCAGACUCCAGGGAGCAGCAGNGGAG